rnacentral:rRNA from 1 species
AUGACUACAUCAGGUUGAAACACCAGUUCACGUAUGAUCACCGAAGUUAAGCAACGUCAUGCCUAGUCAGUACCUUGAUGGGUGACCACUUGGAAAUACCAUGUGCUGUAAG